AGCAGCCGCGGUAAUUCCAGCUCCAAUAGCGUAUAUUAAAGUUGUUGCAGUUAAAAAGCUCGUAGUUGAAUUUUGGAUUCCGCCAGUUGGUCCAUCUUUUGAUGAGUACUGAUUGUGUGGGGUCUAUCCGCCUGGUGAUACGUAAUGUACUUUAUUGUAUGUUGCGGGUAGUCAGGACCUUUACCUUGAAAAAUUAGAGUGUUUAAAGCAGGCUUAUGCCGGAAUACAUUAGCAUGGAAUAAUAGAAUAGGACGAUGUUGUUUUAUUUUGUUGGUUUCUAGGACAACCGUAAUGAUUAAUAGGGAUAGUUGGGGGCAUUAGUAUUCAAUUGUCAGAGGUGAAAUUCUUGGAUUUAUUGAAGACUAACUACUGCGAAAGCAUUUGCCAAGGAUGUUUUCAUUAAUCAAGAACGAAAGUUAGGGGAUCGAAGACGAUCGGAUACCGUCGUAGUCUUAACCAUAAACUAUGCCGACUAGGGAUCGGGCGAUGUUGUUUCCAUGACUCGCUCGGCACCUUAUG
rnacentral:rRNA from 1 species